rnacentral:rRNA from 1 species
UACGGGAGGCAGCAGUGGGGAAUUUUGCGCAAUGGGCGAAAGCCUGACGCAGCAACGCCGCGUGAGUGAUGAAGGCUUUCGGGUCGUAAAGCUCUGUCAGGGGGAAAGAAGUGUAUUGUGGUUAAUACCCAUGAUACUUGACGGUACCCCCAAAGGAAGCACCGGCUAACUCCGUGCCAGCAGCCGCGGUAAUACGGGGGGUGCGAGCGUUGUUCGGAAUUAUUGGGCGUAAAGCGCGUGUAGGCGGUUUGUUAAGUCUGAUGUGAAAGCCCUGGGCUCAACCCAGGAAGUGCAUUGGAAACUGGCAGACUUGAAUACGGGAGAGGGUAGUGGAAUUCCUGGUGUAGGAGUGAAAUCCGUAGAUAUCAGGAGGAACACCGGUGGCGAAGGCGGCUGCCUGGACCGAUAUUGACGCUGAGACGCGAAAGCGUGGGUAGCAAACAGGAUUAGAUACCCUGGUAGUCCACGCCGUAAACGAUGAGUACUAGGUGUUGCGGGUAUUGACCCCUGCAGUGCCGCAGCUAACGCAUUAAGUACUCCGCCUGGAGACCNU